GACGAAGGAUGCAAGCGUUAUCCGGAUUCAUUGGGUUUAAAGGGAGCGUAGGCGGCCUUGUAAGUCAGUGGUGAAAUCUCUCGGCUUAACUGAGAAACUGCCAUUGAUACUGCAGGGCUUGAGUACAGUUGCCGUUGGCGGAAUAUGACAUGUAGUGGUGAAAUACAUAGAGAUGUCAUAGAACACCGAUUGCGAAGGCAGCUAACGAAACUGUAACUGACGCUGAGGCUCGAAAGUGUGGGGAUCAAACAGG
rnacentral:rRNA from 1 species